UACAGAGGUCCCAAGCGUUGUUCGGAUUCAUUGGGCGUAAAGGGUGCGUAGGCGGCGCGGGAAGUCGGGUGUGAAAUCUCGGAGCUUAACUCCGAAACUGCAUUCGAUACUGCCGUGCUUGAGGACUGGAGAGGAGACUGGAAUUCACGGUGUAGCAGUGAAAUGCGUAGAGAUCGGGAGGAAGGCCGGUGGCGAAGGCGGCGCUCUGGAACGUUUCUGACACUGAGGCUCGAAAGCGUGGGGAGCAAACAGG
rnacentral:rRNA from 1 species